GUGCUCACUUCUGCAGCACAUAUACUAAAAUUGGGACGAUACAGAAAAGAUUAGCAUGGCAAAUUCAUGCAAAUUCAUGAAGCGUUCCAUAAAGAUACAAACAGAAUCUAU